GACGAACGUUGGCGGCGUGCUUAAUACAUGCAAGUCAACUGAAGCAGUGGUAGCAAUAUCGCUGUGGAGGUGGCGCACGGGUGAGUAACACGUAGGUAAUCUGCCUUCAGGUCUGGCAUAACUCCGGGAAACCGGGGCUAAUAGCAGAUGAUGCAGCGGCUCGACAUCGAGACAGUUGUUAAAGCUAUGGCGCCUGAAGAUGAGCCUGCGUCUGAUUAGCUAGUUGGCGGGGUAACGGCCCACCAAGGCAACGAUCAGUAGCUGGUCUGAGAGGAUGAUCAGCCACACUGGAACUGAGACACGGUCCAGAAUCCUACGGGAGGCAGCAGUAAGGAAUAUUGCUCAAUGGGAGAAAUCCUGAAGCAGCACCGCCGCGUGAGGGACGAAGGGCUUUUGCUUGUAAACCUCUGUAGUGAGAGAAAAAAAUCCCAAUCUUUGGGACAUGAUGGUAUCUCAAAAGUAAGCCCCGGCUAACUACGUG
rnacentral:rRNA from 1 species